rnacentral:lncRNA from 1 species
GCUCUAUGGGGCAGCCCCACACAUCGUUACGGGGCACAGCGCUCUAUGGGGCAGCCCCACACGUCGCUAUGGGGCACAGCACUCUAUGGGGCAGCCCCACACCGCUCUAUGGGGCAGAGCACUCUAUGGGGCAGCGCCACACGUUGCUAUGGGGCAGAGCACGCUAUGGGGCAGCCCCACACGUGGCUAUGGGGCACAGCGCUCUAUGGGGCAGCCCCACACGUCGCUAUGGGGCACAGCACGCUAUGGGGCAGAGCACUCUAUGGGGCACAGCACUCUACGGGGCAGCCCCACGCAUCGCUAUUGGGCAGAGCACACUAUGGGGCAGCCCCACACGUUGCUAUGGGGCACAGCACGCUAUGGGGCAGCCCCACACGUCGCUAUGGGGCACAGUGCUCUAUGGGGCAGCCCCAUAUCACGCUAUGGGGCAGCCCCACACGUCGCUAUGGGGCAGAGCACGCUAUGGGGCAGCCCCACACGUCGCUAUGGGGCAGAGCACUCCAUGGGGCAGUCCCACACGUCGCUAUGGGGCAGAGCAC